GGACUUUUCUCCCUCCUAGCCAGGCAAGCUAAAGGCCACCCUCCCUGGAAGUGCCUAUGCCACUGCCUGGCAUGUCUGGCUCUACUGAGCUGAGCAGAGUGUGUGCUCGUGCGGGCAGCGUGUGCUCGAGCAGGAAUCCAGGGCCGAGAAGUCCAGAUGAAGCCAUUCCCAGACCAGUCAGUGGCGUUGGCUCGUUCUAUGUGUGUCUUAUCUGAUCCCCUUAACAGGAGGGUGCCAGCAUGGGACAAUUAAAAAGCCCUGCCUGAAGCAAAAGUCUACUGGAAUGCCACGGAAGAGUCACAGCAUGGUAACAAAUGACACAUAGCCAGAAACUGAAGGCCUCAGAGCAGCCACCUACCAGAAACUGAAGACCGAUGAGGAUUGCAGGAGAACUCUGGACCAAACCGCAGCCCAACCAGCUCAGUUGGGAAGAGGUCACAGCCGAGCCGUGCCCACUGCAGCCCAUGGGACUUGUGAAAGGACGAGGUCUAUGGCCUCAGCUGCUAAACUUCUGUAGCAGCGUUCUUCACCAAUAGAUAAUAUCUUACCAUCCACGAGGAGCGCCGGAAUAAAACCAGCACUGUCGACUCCCACUGACUUCCCAACCCACCCCUUCUCUCUCUCAUGAAAAUAUUAUCCUUAUUUUGUUCUCCUCACUCCCAGGCUCUUCUUAAUAUAGAUAUGCCAUAUACAGGAAACUCACCAAGUAGAAUAUGUUUUGCAUGAAAAAAUUGAAAGAACGCGUAAAAAUCAAACUCUAUGAAAGUAACAACAAAAAUGGUCAAUGGAGUCAUUUUUUUUUCAGAUGAUGAAUAACGUUGAAAUCUUUUUUUUGGGGGGGGGGCGGGAUUUUUCGAGACAGGGUUUCUCUGUAGCUUUUGGUUCCUGUCCUGGAACUAGCUCUUGCAGACCAGGCUGGCCUCGAUAACGAUGAAAUCUUAAAGGACACAUACAAAAUAAUAUCUACGUAUCUUGUAGAAGAAAAAUAAUGAGAGGAUUUUUCCUAUUGUGUUUCUGACGUUGCAAAGAUGGAUCAUAAAAUACUUUAAGCCUGUGAAAUAAUAAAUGAAGUAGAAUAAAGAUAUGGGAGAAGGAUCCUGUAGUGGUUAACCGUUUGCUCCCAAGUUAAGGUGGCUUGAAAAGGGGGUGCUAUGUGACGCAUGUGUUGAAGCAUGCUUAUAAUCCCAGCCCUUGGGGGACAGAGGCAGGAAGAUCACUACACUACUGGCUGCCAUCUCCGAAAUCAUAAGUAAAUGAACAAAUACAUGUUAAGUGAUAAUGAAAGGGGCUUUACAAGAAAUUUGUAAUAACAAAUGGGGUCAUGUCACCUCACAACAUGUUUGUGUCCACCUCUGCCCUGCCUGCCAGUUAUUUAUUUAUAGGUAAAAAAGCAAAGCCAGAGCACAAAAGAAAACACCAGUGGCCCUGUCUUCUGGUGCCUGUAAACUCCUAUAGUCUCAUGUCUACUUAGGGAUGUUGGGGUGUGAGAGUGUGCGUGCUUCUUCAUCACUGUCAGUGACAAAGAGUGAGAGCCGCAGUUGGAUAGGGUUGCAGAUUCCAAUGGUUAGGGUCCUACUUUGAGAGCUACUUGGCUAAAAGUCACCCCUCAGGGUACACGUGGGAAGAAGACAGAAGGAAGCCACACCUACCAUUCUUUAGCACCAUUGGGCAGCAAAUCUUUGACUGAGCUAGAGAGAAGGCUGUGAGGAACAGGGGUGAAUGGGAAAGGUAGGAACAGGAAGCCAAGCUGUGAGGCCUCCCCCAGUUCCCCUGAACUGGGAUAAUGUUCAUUAUUUAAUAGUAAAAGGAGAUUUCCCCAGGAGGAAUGAGCCCCAGGGGAAGCAAAGAUCUCUUCUCAUCCUAGACAGGGUAAUUGCUGAACAGUUCCCUGCCAGCUUGUCCUCUUAACCUAGGAGGAGAGAUCAAAGGUGGGCACACCAGCUGCUGUGUCCCAGUAAGCUCCCAGUGUCAGUGCUGGCUGGAGGCACUGUCCCUUUCAGCCUUCAUGGGAGGUUUUUAAACAGACCCAGCCAGUUUCUAUGAGGGCAGAAGGCCAAGAGACAAGGCUGCCUGCUGGCUGAGGUGCCUAAAGAAGGCCUGCCAGGAGGCCUGAGGUUCCACAGCAGGUUCAACAUCUGUCCAGUCACGGUCACAGCCGCUCUCUGCUGUCAUCUGCUGAGCAGUGCAAGCAGGGACCUCAGAAACCAGAAGAGGCACAGAAGGGAAGGCGAGUACAGCAUCAAGGCUAACAUAAGAGUCGGUGGCGAUGGAGCUGGCUGUGCAGUGGCCUCUGUACACACAGCCAGGACUGCACCAAAUCCCAAAAGCUGGGCUGUUUCCCCGCUUCCUAUCCACAUCCCAGGGUGGAUCUCAGGUCUCCCUUUUGGGGUUUCUGUGACUCCCUCCAACACAGCAAUACCCCACUGCUGUUCUAGAAUCCCUUUCUUAAACCCUUCUCCUCAAUGCAAUGAAACCACAAGCCACUUCUGUCCUGCCCUCAGAGCUGAGUCUAUCCCCAAAGUCAGGUGAAGCACCCGCCCGAUGCACAGAGGAUGAGCCUUCGACCUAGGAGCAGGAGUUGAGUUCAGCAUUUGUAAGUUAAGCAAACAUGCUUAACUGUGUUAUCUGGACCACUUAAACUCAGACUGCUGAGGAUGGGAAUAUGCAAGAUCACACUGCCCAGGAGGGAUCCUAGAGCAGAGGAUGAGAUUCCUCCACGCUAGAUGCACUGUCCACAUAGCCAGAUCCUCAAGGAAGACAGACCCAGGAGGAGGGACAGGAAUGGUUUUCCACCCAACCUGAAGACUUUCUUGCUAUAGAAGCACAUG